GACGAACGCUGGCGGCGUGCUUAACACAUGCAAGUCGAACGGAAAGGCCCUGCUUUUGUGGGGUGCUCGAGUGGCGAACGGGUGAGUAACACGUGAGUAACCUGCCCUUGACUUUGGGAUAACUUCAGGAAACUGGGGCUAAUACCGGAUAGGAGCUCCUGCUGCAUGGUGGGGGUUGGAAAGUUUCGGCGGUUGGGGAUGGACUCGCGGCUUAUCAGCUUGUUGGUGGGGUAGUGGCUUACCAAGGCUUUGACGGGUAGCCGGCCUGAGGGGGUGACCGGCCACAUUGGGACUGAGAUACGACCCAGACUCCUACGGGAGGCAGCAGUGGGGAAUAUUGCACAAUGGGCGGAAGCCUGAUGCAGCAACGCCGCGUGCGGGAUGACGGCCUUCGGGUUGUAAACCGCUUUCGCCUGUGACGAAGCGUGAGUGACGGUAAUGGGUAAAGAAGCACCGGCUAACUACGUG
rnacentral:rRNA from 1 species